GACAGAGGGGGCAAGCGUUGUCCGGACUGACUGGGCGUAAAGCGCGCGCAGGCGGUCGCAGGCGUCGGUGCUGAAAGUCCACCGCUUAACGGUGGAUCGCGUGCCGAUACGCCGCGACUGGAGGGCGGGCGAGGGUGGUGGAAUUGCCGGUGUAGUGGUGAAAUGCGUAGAGAUCGGCAGGAACACCCGUGGCGAAAGCGGCCACCUAGCCCGUAUCUGACGCUGAGGCGCGACAGCGUGGGGAGCGAACGGG
rnacentral:rRNA from 1 species